GACGUAGGGGGCCAGCGUUGUUCGGAAUUACUGGGUGUAAAGGGUCAGUAGGCGGUGUGGCAAGUUGGGAGUGAAAUCUAUGGGCUCAACCCAUAGGCUGCUUCCAAAACUGCUGUGCUUGAGUGUGGGAGAGGCGCGUGGAAUUGCAGGUGUAGCGGUGAAAUGUGUAGAUAUCUGCAGGAACACCCGUGGCGAAAGCGGCGCGCUGGACCACAACUGACGCUGAAUGACGAAAGCUAGGGGAGCAAACAGG
rnacentral:rRNA from 1 species